rnacentral:rRNA from 1 species
AGUGAACGCUGGCGGUAGGCCUAACACAUGCAAGUCGAACGGCAGCACAGUAAGAGCUUGCUCUUACGGGUGGCGAGUGGCGGACGGGUGAGGAAUACAUCGGAAUCUACUUUUUCGUGGGGGAUAACGUAGGGAAACUUACGCUAAUACCGCAUACGACCUACGGGUGAAAGCAGGGGAUCUUCGGACCUUGCCCGAUUGAAUGAGCCGAUGUCGGAUUAGCUAGUUGGCGGGGUAAAGGCCCACCAAGGCGACGAUCCGUAGCUGGUCUGAGAGGAUGAUCAGCCACACUGGAACUGAGACACGGUCCAGACUCCUACGGGAGGCAGCAGUGGGGAAUAUUGGACAAUGGGCGCAAGCCUGAUCCAGCCAUGCCGCGUGGGUGAAGAAGGCCUUCGGGUUGUAAAGCCCUUUUGUUGGGAAAGAAAAGCAGCAGGUUAAUACCCCGCUGUUCUGACGGUACCCAAAGAAUAAGCACCGGCUAACUUCGUG